GAAUGCCCACUUUCACCACUCCUGUUUGACAUAGUACUGGAAGUCCUAGCCACAGCAAACCAACAAGAAGAAAACAUAAAAGGCAUCCAAAUUGGAAAGGAGGAAAUAAAACUCUCAUUAUUCACA